CACACGACUCUCGGCAACGGAUAUCUCGGCUCUCGCAUCGAUGAAGAACGUAGCGAAAUGCGAUACCUGGUGUGAAUUGCAGAAUCCCGCGAACCAUCGAGUCUUUGAACGCAAGUUGCGCCCGAGGCCAUUUGGUUGAGGGCACGCCUGCCUGGGUGUCACG
rnacentral:rRNA from 1 species